rnacentral:rRNA from 1 species
GACGAACGCUUUCGGCGUGCUUAACACACGCAAGUCGAACGGAAAGGCCCUGCUUUUGUGGGGUGCUCGAGUGGCGAACGGGUGUGUAACACGUGAGUAACCUGCCCUUGACUUUGGGAUAACUUCAGGAAACUGGGGCUAAUACCGGAUAGGAGCUCCUGCUGCAUGGUGGGGGUUGGAAAGUUUCGGCGGUUGGGGAUGGACUCGCGGCUUAUCAGCUUGUUGGUGGGGUAGUGGCUUACCAAGGCUUUGACGGGUAGCCGGCCUGAGAGGGUGACCGGCCACAUUGGGACUGAGAUACGGCCCAGACUCCUACGGGAGGCAGCAGUGGGGAAUAUUGCACAAUGGGCGGAAGCCUGAUGCAGCAACGCCGCGUGCGGGAUGACGGCCUUCGGGUUGUAAACCGCUUUCGCCUGUGACGAAGCGUGAGUGACGGUAAUGGGUAAAGAAGCACCGGCUAACUACGUGCCAGCAGCCGCGGUGAUACGUAGGGUGCGAGCGUUGUCCGGAUUUAUUGGGCGUAAAGGGCUCGUAGGUGGUUGAUCGCGUCGGAAGUGUAAUCUUGGGGCUUAACCCUGAGCGUGCUUUCGAUACGGGUUGACUUGAGGAAGGUAGGGGAGAAUGGAAUUCCUGGUGGAGCGGUGGAAUGCGCAGAUAUCAGGAGGAACACCAGUGGCGAAGGCGGUUCUCUGGGCCUUUCCUGACGCUGAGGAGCGAAAGCGUGGGGAGCGAACAGGCUUAGAUACCCUGGUAGUCCACGCUGUAAACGGUGGGUACUAGGUGUGGGGUCCAUUCCACGGGUUCCGUGCCGUAGCUAACGCUUUAAGUACCCCGCCUGGGGAGUACGGCCGCAAGGCUAAAACUCAAAGGAAUUGACGGGGCCCCGCACAAGCGGCGGAGCAUGCGGAUUAAUUCGAUGCAACGCGUAGAACCUUACCUGGGUUUGACAUGGAUCGGGAGUGCUCAGAGAUGGGUGUGCCUCUUUUGGGGUCGGUUCACAGGUGGUGCAUGGCUGUCGUCAGCUCGUGUCGUGAGAUGUUGGGUUAAGUCCCGCAACGAGCGCAACCCUUGUUCACUGUUGCCAGCACGUUAUGGUGGGGACUCAGUGGAGACCGCCGGGGUCAACUCGGAGGAAGGUGGGGAUGACGUCAAGUCAUCAUGCCCCUUAUGUCCAGGGCUUCACGCAUGCUACAAUGGCUGGUACAGAGAGUGGCGAGCCUGUGAGGGUGAGCGAAUCUCGGAAAGCCGGUCUCAGUUCGGAUUGGGGUCUGCAACUCGACCUCAUGAAGUCGGAGUCGCUAGUAAUCGCAGAUCAGCAACGCUGCGGUGAAUACGUUCCCGGG